rnacentral:misc_RNA from 1 species
GCAAACUUGGUCAUUUAGAGGAAGUAAAAGUCGUAACAAGGUUUCCGUAGGUGAACCUGCGGAAGGAUCAUUAGAGAAACUCUCUCUUCCCAUCCACACACACACAGUGCACUCUUGUCGGCCGCUGGUCCACGGCGGCCGUCCCCUCACACACACACACGUGUAAAAGUCCCGAACGUUUUAACCCUAAACAAAAUACAACUUCCAACAACGGAUCUCUUGGCUCUCGCAUCGAUGAAGAACGCAGC